rnacentral:rRNA from 1 species
GUAGAGGUGACAGACCUAACGAGCUUAGUGAUAGCUGGUUACUUAAGAAAAGGAUCUUAGUCCUCCCCAAAUUUUUUACAAUAUUUAUAAAUAAAAACUAAAAUUUGGAGUUAUUCAAAUAAGGUACAGCCUAUUUGAACCAGGAUACAACCUCCUCAAACGGGUAAUUAAAUCCAUAUACAGCAAAGUAGGCCUAAAAGCAGCCAUCUUCAAAAAGCGUCAAAGCUUAUCUUCAAAUUUUCAUAAUCCCCCUAAUUUUUAAAACCCCUUAAUCUUUAUUAAGUAACUCUAUAAAAUUAUAGUAUUUAUUAUGUUAAAACUAGUAACGAGAAUCAGAACUUCUCUUUAAUGUAAGUGUAAAUCAGAAUGGACAAACCACUGAUUUUUAACACUUGAAACCAAAGUAACAACCCACCAAGAAAAUCUUACCCCAAAUAGUGUUAACCUGACACAAGAACAUUCUCAGACAGAUUGAAAGGAAAAGAAGGAACUCGGCAAACAUUAACCCCGCCUGUUUACCAAAAACAUCGCCUCUUGAUAAACAUAUAAGAGGUCCAGCCUGCCCAGUGACUCUGUUCAACGGCCGCGGUAUCCUAACCGUGCGAAGGUAGCGUAAUCACUUGUUCUUUAAAUGAGGACUAGUAUGAAUGGCAUCACGAGGGUUAUACUGUCUCCUUUCCCCAAUCAGUGAAACUAAUCUCCUCGUGAAGAAGCGAGGAUAAAUAUAUAAGACGAGAAGACCCUAUGGAGCUUAAAACUUUCAGCAAUUAUCUUUUCUAUAACAACCUUAAGGUUAUUACAUCAACUCUAAUAAUAUGCCUGUCAGUUUUCGGUUGGGGUGACCGCGGAGUAAAACUCACCCUCCGCAAUGAAUAUUAACAAUUAAGCAAAAAACUACAAUUUUAUGCAUCAAAAAAUUGACAGUAUUGACCCAACACUUUGAUCAACGAACCAAGUUACCCUAGGGAUAACAGCGCAAUCCAUCUCAAGAGCUCAUAUCGACAGAUGGGUUUACGACCUCGAUGUUGGAUCAGG